GCCAUUCAAUACCUUCUGCAACUUUGAAAUUUCUUCUCUGAUGUUGCAGAGUUCAUCUUGAAGUUGCAAUAUCCGCUCGGACCUUGCCCAUCCAAAUUUCUUACACUUAAUCAGAGACUCCAAGGUGCAGAUUUCUCCAUGAGCAGAGUCAAGCUGACGAUGAUAUAUAGUCAAUUUCACCACCAUGCCCCAGGAUCUUUUUUUGUUGCAUCGGAUAUCCUCUGCAUCUCAUCGGC
rnacentral:lncRNA from 1 species